CGAAAGGUCCAGCUGCGCGACGGGAACGAGCUGGUCUGGUCGACGCGAGCAGAACGGCGGGGGCGGAGACGCCGCAUCCCCGGCGGGAGGAGGAGGAGGAGGAGCAAAUGAUGGUGGCGCAACCUUCUUCCUCCUCCCCUCACAUGUGGCAGCCAGUACGGGCUCAGGCAGCAGGCCAAGACGCGCCGCCACGCCACGCCGACGGCUUAGCGCGCGAGGCCGUCCGUCCGGGUGGAGCGAGAGCUUCUCGAAGCGCUGAUGUUUGUCGUCCAGAGAAGCUGGCCACUGGUGUCUGACAAGGCGAGAUCGGAUCCGCUUGUGAAGGCGAGCGUUGCAGAAGAAGGAUCAGUUAUCGGCAUAGCACGGGAGAAGAAUCCAAGGGCAAAAGUGCCAUCGUCGGAGGUGAUGGUGCUACCAGCGGAAAGCGGCUUGUCGGGAAGAAGGCGGCUGCUGGAUGAUGCAUAAAAUGGCAAUAAACAAAAUGACCAACAAACAAGGCAGAUGAUUGUGUAUAUGGGAAGGGGAUCCAUUGCUGUAGUGAACUAUGGAACUGAGAUAAUGGAAGCAAAGCAAU